rnacentral:rRNA from 1 species
CAAGUCGGACGGAGUACUUCGGUACUCAGUGGCGGACGGGUGAGUAACACGUGGGAAUCUCGCCCAGUAGGUGGGGGACAGCCCGGAGAAAUCCGGAUUAAUACCGCAUACGCCCGUACGGGGGAAAGCAGCAAUGCGCUAUUGGAUGAGCCCGCGUUAGAUUAGCUGGUUGGUGGGGUAAAGGCCCACCAAGGCGACGAUCUAUAGCUGGUCUGAGAGGAUGGCCAGCCACAUUGGGACUGAGACACGGCCCAGACUCCUACGGGAGGCAGCAGUCGGGAAUAUUGGACAAUGGGCGCAAGCCUGAUCCAGCAAUACCGCGUGUGUGAAGAAGGCCUGCGGGUUGUAAAGCACUUUCAGUGGGGAAGAUAAUGACGUUACCCACAGAAGAAGCACCGGCUAACUCCGUG